rnacentral:misc_RNA from 1 species
CAACUUCCACCUGGCUUACCUCCNUCAGUUAUGCGUCAUGACUUGURUCGUCUUGAGCGUAUUGUGGGUUUCCUGUGUUGCAUACCUAAUAAUGGAAUCGUUUUGGUUGAUUGAAGUCCCUUUUCAUCACGUGUUGCCUUUGCGACGCAUGAUGAACCUCGAAGCGGUCUCUAUGUUCCACCACGUUGAUGCUAGUGUCUUGAUGUUGUGGCCCAUUGAGUGUUGCUUGGUUUCGUGGAUACAGAACAUGAUUUGGGCAUAGGGUCACUUGUGACUCUUGUUUUGUCCUUUAUCAGUGUUCUCUAUAACGACGGUUCAUGCGCGCCUAGGCUCGUACCUGCGCGAUGUUCUUUGUCGAAGAGGAAUGCUACCUGGUUGAUCCUGCCAGUAGUCAUAUGCUUGUCUCAAAGAUUAAGCCAUGCAUGUGUAAGU